UGGACGGCUCUGGUAGUUGGCUGAAUAGUUUUUCAAACAUGGGUCCUGGGUGAAAAAUCUUGAUUUGAGACCUAAUAUAGCCGUUCAUGUUUCACGGCCACGGGCGAAGUUGGUGAAUGCGUAUCAUAUUACAACUGUUAUGAUGCGCCCCAGGAUGAUAUAGGAAGCACAUCCGGAUGUUUACACUACCUUCAUGUCUGCGGUAUAAAUGUGCCUACCGGUGAUGAGG